GAAAGCUCCACCAUUUUUAAAUGAUGGAACCUUGUCAACCAUGUUUGAGAUCUGAUACGUCAUCAAAGAAGUUUGAGAUAAAAAUUAGAAUAAAUGCUAUUUGAAUCAAAAGAGCAAGAUGCAUACAAGUUAAAAUUAUGAAAUCUUACAGCAAAGAAAAAGCUUAUGGAAAUAGAACCCCGAAUCAGAAUUAAUUUCGGGAAAACUUCAAUUCUGUCAUCAUUCCAAAAACAUGUAGAUCAGAUGCUAACCCAGCCAACACAAUAAGAUUUGCUUGUGCAAAUUAGGGAAUCUUUUAAAUCUCAUGGAUAGCAACUCUAAAAAAAUUACUUACUCAUUACGGAAAACAUUUAUUUCCUUUAGAAUUUCGGAUUUGGAAUCCUUACCCUAUACAUAAAUCAGGAUAGCAAUAUGAGUUUCCAUUGCAUGCAUCAUAUAAAGACACAAGCAUGAAUCUUUUGCCUAUGCUCCAAGGAUUGGGGAAGCAGAAUCCGCAACUGAUGCAGCUCAUUCAGGCGCACCAGGCUGGCUUUCUUCACCUGAUUAAUGAACCUGUUGAAGGAGAAGGGACAGGGUGGAGAUUGUGAAGAAUUUUUGGGUUGAUAGGGAGGUGAACCGGGCUAGGUUUAUGCCGCAGAAGCCAACCCUUGUUGCGGCGAAGACGAGUGGUUUAGAGGUUUAUGUGUUUGAUGUUGCGAAACAGAGUGGGUGAAUUUGUGUGACCAUGAUUUGAGGUUGAGAGGUCAUGAGAAGGAAGGUUAUGGGUUGCCAUGGAAUCCAUUAAAAGAGGGUUAUUUGUUGAGUGGGUCUUAUGAUCGUAAGAUAUGUUUGUGGGAUGUGUCUACUAUGCCCCAAAGUAAAGUUCUUGAUAAGAAAAGUAGCGAUGAUAAAAUCUAGCAAAAAUACAAGAUACGCGAAGACUAGAGAAUGAAUUUAAUGCUUACGAAUUUUUUGACAUUUCGCAGCCUGACGGUAGCUUUCGCACCAGGAGAAGGCUAGCAGAUUGUGCAGCCCUUGUUGAGGAAUGCUGGUCAGUUUCUAUUUAUUUAUUUCUUUAUUUAUUGUCACAGUUGUCGUAUAAUUAAUUAAUAAUGCUAACAAGUUGAUUAGAUUGUAUUACAAACAAAGGUUGUGUUUGUGAUAGAUUGAACUACCCCCCUGGUCUGACAUUGUUAAGACUGACGUGCUCAAGGAACCUGCCCCUUAUGACCCCAAGGAACUCCCAGAUGAUUGCGGUCGGUGCUUCAUUUACCUUGCUGAAUUUGAUUGUUAAAAAUCGGUUUCUUAUAAUUAGUUAAGUAUUGUUCUGUUUGAAAUGAAUGCAGGAGCUUAACAUGGCUAAGGAUAGGGUAAGAAUAACUGCCAAUAUGACUUCAUGAACGAAAUCCCAUGUUAUUUUUUGUAUUGGAUAAUGAUUUUGAAUGACUGAAUUGUUUUGUUGGGUUUUCAGCUGAAAACCCUGCAGCAUGAUGAGUUUGUCUCAAAGGAUGCCAUGUUUAAAGCUUUGAUUCUUGAGAUGAAGGUCCAUUGUUUGUCAUGUAUCCUGUUGUCACUUGAUAUUUACUUUUUAUGGUUUUGGUCGCUUAUUUGUUUGUUGAAAUUGGUUAAAAUUGUAGGGUUCUUGAUGUUGCUUGAAGAUCUAUGACAUAUUGGUGGAAAUUUUGAGUACAAAUUAUAUUUUAAUGGUUGCAUAAAGUUUGGGCUUUUCUUGUCUCUAAUAAAGAAUUAUGAUAUAAGCGAUCUUUCUUGUCUCUAAUAAAGAAUUAUGAUAUGAGCGAUCGUUAAAUUUUCACAUGAAUACAAGUGAGAAACAUAAAAAUUAUGGUUUUUUUUUUAUACCUAAUUAGAUCGUACAGUAAUUGUUAUGAUUAUAGUUGUGAUUGUUGCUUAAAUCCUUGUAAUUCUGAUUCUGAUUUCUUGGGAGAAAAAUAAAUCAGCAGAUGAGAGUUUAUUGGGUUAGUUCAUAAAGCAAGGCAAUUACCGCAUAUUUUCUGUUUCAGCAGUUGUUUUUUUAGUGACACGUAUAUAUGCAUAUAUGAGAUUAUAUUCAGUGUUUUGAUUGACGUUUGUUUUAUUGAUGUGAUUUUUGAUUGUGGGUGUUUUUUGUAAGGUGGAUGAGAAUAUUUGCAAGUUUGCAAAGAAUAGUCUUACUCCAUCUCAGAUUGGUGUGGGUUUUUGUUGAAGUUUGGGCUUUUGUUGAUCGGUUGAUUGAUCGGCUGAACUGUGGUUGAUCCUGGUACGAGCGGUCGAUCGUGUGCUGCUUGGGUCUUUCAGAAUUUUGGUUCUAAUUGCAGGGCUUUCAUGCUAUUGAUUUAGCUGAAUUUGUGUGAUUACUGGGUUUUGAUUUUGUUUGUUUAUGGUCUUUAGGCUUAUGGUUAGCGGGAUGUUCGGUGUAUGAAUGGCAUGGUUUUGCUGGUAUUAUACAGGACUGCUGGGUGAAGAUCGGGUUUAUCUCGCUGGUGUUCGGCUGUGCGGGUUUGUGUUCUAUGUCAGAGAAUCUUCAUGAGUGAUGUUGGGCUUCCUGGCAUUUGCAUGUUAUGAGGGACGAAUUUCAUUUCUAUUGGGGGUAUUGCUUGGCUUCUGUUAUUGACCCCAAAUGCUCGAGUUAGCUGAUAUGCCGAGGAAUCACCGGAUGAUUUGCUUCUAGUCUGAGGAGGUUGUUUCAAGUUAGCUUAUAUGAACCCAUGAUUGCAGUAUUGUUUUGUUGUCCUAGGGCAGCAAGGGCAGUUGUAUUUGCCGCAGUUUCCGAGGGUAUGCCUUUGGUGUUUUGUGGUUGCACUGUCUUUCAUUGUUCCAUAUCAAGGUGAAUGAGAUUUUGAAUGUAAUUGUGACUUGUAUUUUCUUAUGUAUCUUCUUCGAGUCAUUUGUUGUUCCCUGGCUUAUUUUGAUGUUUGGUUGUCUAAAGAUGGUGUUUUUUUUGUUGUGUGAAGGUGAUGUGCUCUCAAGAACAUCUUCAAGUGGCACUCAUCAUGCUGGUGUUUUGGAGGGUUGGUUUGGAGAUCACUGGUGGAAUGGCCAGAUUGCUUCCGGUACCAAUGUGGUCUAGGAAGGAAAAUGAUGAGCGAGUUGUACAGUUUAAAAGAAGAAAACUCCUUUUUCCAUCUGAAUUAUCCACUGAGAUUGACGACCGACCUAAAUGUUCUCUCUGUUCACAGCAAGGAUCUACGCCAGCUUUAAUUUAUAUUGCUUGUGAAAUCUGUGGAGAUUGGUUUCAUGGGGAUGCAUUUGGACUUGACCAAGAAAAAAUUGAGUCUCUGAAGUGCUGAAGGAGUGAUGAAAUAGUGUCCUCGAAGGAAACCAGUAUAAGCUGAUCAUUACACCACUAACAGGGCAACAGGACAACAGUUCUGCACCUGUUCUGAAUGGGAUAGACAUAGAUAUCCUAAAAGUAGCUUAAGGGUAGAUCAUUCUUGUACCUUGGUAUUUGUUUAUAGCCGGAAUUACAUGAAAGCAGAGGCUGCAGUUUCUUGUUGUCAACUGAUUAUAGCAGUGGGGGCAUGAAUACCUCCUUGAUUUUAUGAUAGAUUGAA